rnacentral:rRNA from 1 species
GGAUCCAGACUUGAUUAUGGCUCAGGACGAACGCUGGCGGCGUGCCUAACACAUGCAAGUCGAGCGGAGACAGUGAGUAGCUUGCUACGAACUGUUUUAGCGGCGGACGGGUGAGUAACGCGUGAGCAACCUUUCCCAGACAGGGGAAUAACACACCGAAAGGUGUACUAAUACCGCAUAAGACCACGGGAUCACAUGGUUCUGAGGUAAAAGAUUUAUCGGUUUGGGGUGGGCUCGCGUCCGAUUAGGUAGUUGGUGAGGUAACGGCCCACCAAGCCGACGAUCGGUAGCCGACCUGAGAGGGUGAUCGGCCACAUUGGGACUGAGACACGGCCCAAACUCCUACGGGAGGCAGCAGUGGGGAAUAUUGGGCAAUGGGGGAAACCCUGACCCAGCAACGCCGCGUGGAGGAAGAAGGUUUUCGGAUCGUAAACUCCUGUCCUUGGAGACGAGUAGAAGACGGUAUCCAAGGAGGAAGCCCCGGCUAACUACGUGCCAGCAGCCGCGGUAAUACGUAGGGGGCAAGCGUUGUCCGGAAUAAUUGGGCGUAAAGGGCGCGUAGGCGGCUCGGUAAGUCUGGAGUGAAAGUCCUGCUUUUAAGGUGGGAAUUGCUUUGGAUACUGUCGGGCUUGAGUGCAGGAGAGGUUAGUGGAAUUCCCAGUGUAGCGGUGAAAUGCGUAGAGAUUGGGAGGAACACCAGUGGCGAAGGCGACUAACUGGACUGUAACUGACGCUGAGGCGCGAAAGUGUGGGGAGCAAACAGGAUUAGAUACCCUGGUAGUCCACACUGUAAACGAUGAAUGCUAGGUGUAGGGGGUAUCGACCCCUUCUGUGCCGCAGUCAACACAAUAAGCAUUCCGCCUGGGGAGUACGGCCGCAAGGUUGCAACUCAAAGGAAUUGACGG